UCCAGUGGUUUAAUCACGUUUUCUGAAGCGAUCUAAUCAGUUUUGGGUGAUAAUAGAACUAAACAGAACUCCUUCAAUAUAAAUCUUGACAUCAGCAGUCUCUAUGGCGAUCAAGAUUUCAAGCUUGAUGACAUUUCCUAGAGAUUGACACACUCCCAGAGCACUUUGAUGGCACUAAGGAGUGUAUUUGAGCUUGAAAUCUUGAUCGUGUUGAGAGACUGCAUUGGCAAGAUGUACAAUGAAGAAGGAAUUAGAUUUUGGUCUGUUAUCAACCAAAACUGAUUAGAUCGCUUCAGAAGAUGUGGGUUAAACCAAUGGAGUCUUAUGGAUUACUUUUAUGCUGCCUUUCUGUGCUUUUUGGAGCUUCAAAGUUUUGGUCACCAUUCACUUGCAUUGUAUGGACCUACAGAGCUGAAAUAUUCCUUCAAAAAUCUUCUUUUGUGUUCUGCAGAAGAAAGACAUCAUGCACAUCUGGGGUGGCAUGAUGGCAAGUAAAUAAUUUUUGGGUGAACUAUUUCUUAGUGACAUUCGUCAUCCUGAGUUUUGGAUCUUUAUGUUGUUUCAAAAGGUUUUACAAAACGAAGUUACCUGGCACAGUUUGUUUUUAUACAGUUGCCAAAUGGCCACAUGGGGGCGCCAAGUGUUUAUAAUAGCCUACUUUCAUGUUUGAAAUGUGUGGUAUUCAAGUAUUAUUAUUUUUAAUCCAGCUUUUAUUAUAUAUCAUUGAUGUGUAUCACAUUUUUUAAGAUUCCUAAUUUCAUGUUUUAUAUGGUUCUAGAGUUCAAGUUAAUUUUGUGAAAAGAGAACAUUUGAAUUCUCUUGUAUAUCUAAUAUUAGUUUUUUUUUUUUUUUUUUAACCAAAGCCGUUAAUAAAGAAUACCGUGUCGUUGACACUUCUCUCCUCUCCUUUCUAACCAAAUAACCAUGAAAACACAAAAUAUUUGUUUUUAAAAAGCCGAGCAAACCACUGAAGCCUAGAGCUGCUCGACAGAAUAAUUACCAGCCCUAGUUGAGUAGCGCUGUGUAACCUAAUUUGCAUAAACAUGAGUAAUUUAUGAAUAAUAAAUGCCCUUGUGUUCGGCGUGAUCCAUUAAUUUGCAUAUCGCCAUGGCACUACAGUUAUUUUUCCUGAGUGCUGUGCUACCAUGAUGCGAUAAGAGCCUGCACAAAACAGAAUCAAAAGACCCUCUGCAAUGGACCCGUAGGAGCCUCUGGACCCUGACUGAAAAAUCUGGGUUUAGGGGAAGAUCUUAAAGAGGCAAAAGUCAAAUCAUGGCAUCAAAAAGAUAAGUAGUUCAGAUGUUUUCCUAUCCUUUACCUGUCCAUUCUGGACCUGAGCAGUGACCGUUAAGGUUCAUUUAAAGCCUCUAGUAUUUGUGUCAGCACUGUUAAGCAUGCUCUAAUCUAAGUUAAACUUGGCUCCGGGCAUAAAGAAGCUUUUCUGCCUUCUAGACUUCUCUGUAGACGUUGCUGUAUUCUUACUGCAGCUCUGAUAGCCCUUGUCGGUUCUGUAUGGUGAGAGUCCUUAUUAGGGAUGGCACUGCUCUCCCAGCUUAUUCAGAGAUGUGGGGGCUGGCUCGAUCAUAAGUAACUGAGGUAAAAGGCCACAUCAAAGUGGCUCCCAGUCAUGAUUUGUGCUCAAGUCAGCACUCAAGGCCUGUUGUUUCAGGAAUGGGUAUAACUAUAUGAAACUAAACAAAAUGGUCCAUAUCCCGGCAACUGCUAAAUAAUUAUUGAAAAUUUUUAUUAAAUGAUUGGGUUUAGCCCUUUAACACUGGUUUUCCAGUGCUCAAAGCAAGCAACAUUGUGAUAUAAUAUUAUAAAAUGAUAUAUAAUGAUCCAAUAAAGCAAAGGUGAGGCUGUGCAUUGAUUUUUACCAUGGGUAAGGGGUGUUCUUUGGCAUGACGCAAAGACUCCAGUGGCUUAUUGCUUUUAUAAAAUGUCAGCAAUAGCAAUGUUAUUUAAAAACAAUGUUCAAUAAACAGUGACAUUAAUAAAUAUUGAAAUAAUAAUUCUUCUGUCAUUUCAUUCAUUAUCCUAACUGUAGGCUCUUUGUGGUUGCAAAGCAACAUGGUGCAUCAUGGUGCAUUCACAUUGUGUUGGAAUCAUUUUACAGUCAUCAUCCAAUUAGAAUUCUGAGUCAGAGCUAUGUGUUUUAAGAAAUAUAACGACAUAAUUCGGCUCCGGUAAUUUCCUCUACUUGUAACUACUGUAUACCACUACUAAUGAUGAAAAUGAAAAAAAAAAAAAAGUGUGGAUAAAAUAACAUUCUCCAUUUUCAAUAGUCCUAUUGAACCAAACAGAACCAACUAACCAACAUACAAUGACGUAAAAGCAUGUUGCGUGCUCCUUUAUCCGUUUUAGCAAUAUUUUAAACAAUUUAAACAUUAAACAGCAUGCCUUUUUUCAUUUCUCCGGCAUACCACUCAAUACAAACCUGGAGACACUUUCUUUUCUCCUUUUGCUAGGAAGCUUUUAUCCUCAAGUAAAGCAUACAUGACAGUCGAAUGUGUCUGUGGCACAAGGCAGUAAUGAUUGCAUGAAAUUACAGAGGCUUCAGCAGCAGCUCUCAGGUAGCUGGAUCAGCUCUCUCCCCUGCCUUACUUUCUCUCCCUUCCUGCCUCUCACAAGCUAUUCAAAGGGAAUGUAUAACUGAAUAUAAGAUGGAGCGGGCGUCUUUCAAGGGCCAAAGCUAAUGAGACAUUUUACCUUGAAAUCAGAGCAAGACAGGAGGAGACCCUGUAGAGCUGAGCUUGCAUAGGGGGAUCACAGUUGGGCCUGGAUCCUUCAGAGGAAGCGAGAGACAGAGGGAGAUAUAGAGAGGGUGUGAUCCAUUCCACAGAGGAAUAAUUCUCUCAACGAGAGUGGAUUAUAACAGACAAUCCUGCAAACGGACCCAUGACAAGAGGCUCAGCAUAUGGCCCCAAGCCUUUCUUAUUGUCUGGAGUGGCGGGGCAGGACGGGCCGCAAUUAUUGUCACCGUUGUAAGAUGGGCGAUGUGUCUGGAAGACCAGACACACGGCAGUGUGACAUGAUCCCAACAACUCCUCGUGCCCUUUCCCACCAAACCACAAUCUCCUAUCAGACAUCGGCUUUGCAAAUGUUUUCUUGCAAGGUCUUUGUUAAUAUCAAUGCCCAAAUUUCAGCUCAAACUCUUAAUGUCAUGAUGUUAAAGGGAAAAAUCACCCAAAAAUGAAGAUUCUGUCAUCAUUUAUUGACCUUUGUUGUGUUCUAAACCUGCAAGACUUUGCUUCUUCCUUGGAACACAAAAUGUUAGGCAUAUUGUUGGGGACUGAGAGCCUCAGUCUGAAUUCACUUUCACUGAAAAACAAAGAGCUUUUUCCUCUUGUGCUCUACAAAAGAAAGAAAGUUCAUUUUUUCAGUGGACUAACCCUUUAACUGUGAUCUUGUCAAGUAUAUUGAUUUGCUUGGCCAGGAGAGGGAAAAUAGUUUGGAGUCUGUUAAAUAUCUUGAUCAAUUGUAUUGUAUCAGAAAUGGCCAAAUACCGUAUAUCACAUAAAAAGUGGCUUAAAUGGUUUGCUGCCACAGCUAUCCACAUAAUGAGUUUAGACUAACCACUAUGUACAUUUAAUAUGUGAAGAGCUAUUUUUGCCAGGUGUCAGCUGUCAAAUAAUGAAAAUAUAUUAUCCACAAGUGUUGUACCAUCUGCUUGUGCCACCCUUUAAAUAUAGUGUAAAAACAGUCAGUGUGUUUUCCUAAACUUUAAAUUGACAGAAUAAUAAUGGAUCACACAGCACCAGAAGAUGAUGAGGUAUGUAAAGCACUUAGUUAAAACAAGGUUUCUGUCAUUCCUGGAGCUUGAUGUAAAAUUCUCAUUCAUCACUUUUUUUUUUAGGACAGGAAGUUGCCGAUGGCAGAACGUAUCCUUUUUUGAUUUGUUGAAACUGACACUCUGUGAGCCAUUUUUUAUAUGAGACAUUACAAUUAUGAAAUCAAUUUAUUUCCCACAUUAAAAUGAAACUUACCCUCCCACUCCCUCAUGCCAGUCCAUGGUGAAGAUUUGUUGAAUAAUCUGGAUGUACUAUGUUACAUGUUUUAAAUUCAAAGGGUAUGUGAUGGUGACCGAGUUAUACAUGUUAUUGCACAAUUUUCUAUCAUUAAUAUUUACUAAACUGAAAACUUUAUUUCAUUGCCUUUUGAUAACAAUUAAAAUAUUUAAAAGCAUUUAAAGCAUUGACAGUGCUGACAGAUCACAACUGUGCCCGUCCCCGUUACCCAAACAAUUCAUGAUUUCAAAUGCAUGUACAUAUAGAAGAAUACUGUUCUGUUCUAUACCUUUAUGUCUUCUGUAUACUGGACAAAUAGUAUAUUUGUUUCCAACAUUUGAUUUUAGUAUAGAAAUGGAAUAACAUUUACAAUUGUAAACAAAUGCAUACAUCAUACAAUCUAAGACACACACAAAAAAUUUAAUAAAAUUAGUAAAUGGAUAAAAAAAAUGUUGAACACAUUUGAGUAAGAUUGAAUAAAUAAAUGUCUCUUUUUUUUACACACGUCUUUCCUCCUCUUCUUUAAGAUUUUAUUAUUAUUAUUUUAUUUACUUCAUUUAAUCAUAUUCAUUUCAUAUUUGAUGCCAAGAUGGAUGACCUUUAAAACAUUAUUAUAAAUCAAGAACUGAAUUACAAACAUUAAAAUUCAUUAAAAAGGUCAUUUUAGGAAACUCAAUAAGAGUUUAAGAUUUGAAAGCAAUGUGAUGUGAAAAUUCCUUAUUAGGAGAAAAAUCUGCAUUUAAGAGGAAGCCCCAUCUUGCGGGUACCAUAUUAAUUAAAUUGUUGCUCGGUAACAGUGGCAAACUGUUGGUAAAUGGGCAGGGUUUAGUAAAGUGAGCAGGGGUAGUUCACACAAUGGGAGCACUUCGCCUCUUUACCAUAUUGAAAUAUGUCCCUUACAAACUUAAAGAGUAAUACAGCCUAACCCUUAUUUCCCCUUGUCUUUCAGGCCUGCAAUUAGAGGACAUAAUAUAAGUUUCUCACCUCCAUUGGUGAAUUAUGGGAAAUCAGCUCCUGUGACCUACUGAGAUACCAUAGACAGAUCAUGUCUCCAGCCACUGCACCCUGGCAACUGCCUCCAGUGGCAACACAUUCCCAAUAACAAAUACAUCUGUACCUAUAGGAUCAUUGCUAUGGCCACACAAAAACCAAGAGCAGCUGCUGGAGAGUAGUCUUAUCUGUGACUUAAUGUAAAUGUCAUGUCUAAAUGAUCUUCUAUGAGCAUGUUUACCCUUCCUGGUUAGAGACACAUUGUUGAAAUUAUGGCUUAAUUUACAGUCAUGCACUGGCACAAUAAAAUUAAUACUUACUAAUCACAUGUAUCUUAUAAGUUUCCCUUUCAAGUAAUAAUAGAACUGUAUGGACUUUUCACUUUGAGCUUUCUUUUUCUUUUCAUAGAGGAAUAAAUAUAUUUUCCCUAUUUAUGAAUAAACUGACAUAAAUCCAGUACUAACUAAAUUUUGUGUAUUUCUUCCUUCUUGUUCAAACAGCAAAGAGACUCUGUUUCAUGUGGACAGUAGAUAAGGCUUUUGUCAUCUUUAGUCACUGAUUUUUAAGUAAGCUCUCAUUUUCUAUACUCGUUAAUGAAAUAAUGCAAAAUACUCACUCUGUUCGCAUAACUGAGUAACUUUGGCAAUAGUCCUGGUAUGCUGGAUUCUGAAUGGCAGUGUCUCAUGGGUGCUUCAGUUGACUGGCUGCUGACCUAUGCUGGACCGCUAGCCACAGUUCAGACAAGAGGCACAAGAGGCACAUCAAUGGCAACUGAGGGCUAAAGAGGAUUAUAGAUCAGCAGACAUAGAA